UUGCAGAACUCCAGGACAUGCAUCUUUCUGCUGAGAAAACCAGUCAUUAUCAAAAAUAGUAACUCAAGAUCUGAGCUAAGUGAAACCAGAGUCCUUGAAAGGCGGCUAUCUUCGGUUCCCCCCUGCCCAAAGCCCUCCCACUCACUCUACAUGGAUACAGAUAUGACUUGCUUUUGUUACAGUUAGAUCACAGAACCUCAGCCAACAGAAUUUGAAACAGUAUCUACAAUGUAAG